CCUGAAAACAGGUAACAUCCUUUUUCCCCCAUUUGCUGUACUUAUCCCUAGAAAGGACUGCUUUUUGGCAUGUCUCCUUGAGAGUCUUUGUCAGCAGGAAAAAGGCUGCUUUGCAGGUCCCCUGCUGUGCAAAUCGCCCUUCACAGAGGAAGAUCUUCCUGCCAGUGACUGACAAGAGGUGCCAGGAGCAGGCUACGAGACUUUUGAAACCUGUGAGUUGGCAAAUCAGCAGGGCUUUAUGAAGGAAGCUGGAGGCAGUUCUCAUUAGUCUCACUGACAUCUUUUAUCACUUAUCAGAGGAACAAGCAAACGGAGAGCAAUUCCUUUGAUCAUGGCAAAAGUAGAAAGAGUAUUAAAAACCCUAUGAAGAUUCACUAAGUAGAAAGUGGAAAAGACAGUCUGUGGCAUGUUUCAAAGUAGUAACAAGAUUUAAAGUUGCCAGAUUUGCUUGUAUAUAUUAAAGAAUUGUUAAUGAUGCUACAUUUUA